rnacentral:rRNA from 1 species
GACGAACGCUGGCGGCGUGCUUAACACAUGCAAGUCGAACGGAAAGGCCCCUUUGGGGGUACUCGAGUGGCGAACGGGUGAGUAACACGUGAGUAACCUGCCCUUGACUUCGGGAUAACUUCAGGAAACUGGGGCUAAUACCGGAUAGGAAUCCUUGCCGCAUGGUGGGGGUUGGAAAGCUUCGGCGGUUUUGGAUGGACUCGCGGCUUAUCAGCUUGUUGGUGGGGUAGUGGCUUACCAAGGCUUUGACGGGUAGCCGGCCUGAGAGGGCGACCGGCCACAUUGGGACUGAGAUACGGCCCAGACUCCUACGGGAGGCAGCAGUGGGGAAUAUUGCACAAUGGGCGGAAGCCUGAUGCAGCAACGCCGCGUGCGGGAGGACGGCCUUCGGGUUGUAAACCGCUUUCAGCAGGGGCGAAGCUUGUGGUGACGGUACCUGCAGAAGAAGCACCGGCUAACUACGUG